UACGAAGGGUUCUAGCGUUGCUCGGAAUCACUGGGCGUAAAGCGCACGUAGGCGGAUUGUUAAGUCAGGGGUGAAAUCCUGGAGCUCAACUCCAGAACUGCCUUUGAUACUGGCGAUCUUGAGUCCGGGAGAGGUGAGUGGAACUGCGAGUGUAGAGGUGAAAUUCGUAGAUAUUCGCAAGAACACCAGUGGCGAAGGCGGCUCACUGGCCCGGUACUGACGCUGAGGUGCGAAAGCGUGGGGAGCAAACAGG
rnacentral:rRNA from 1 species